rnacentral:rRNA from 1 species
AUGGUGAGCCGAAGUGGGAAGAUAAACAUCUGGUCAUGUUUGCGUGCUUUACAUCAACGAAUAAAAUUCCCGUGGUUGAUAGCCGGGGAUUUUACCGAGAUCUUAUACUCCCACGAGAAGGAGGGCGGUGCACCGAGGCCAAUGCACAUGAUGCAAAAUUUCAAAGAUGCCCUUGUUGAUUGCGAAUUGGAGGGCAUGGGUUCUAGUGGUGAUUUAUAUACUUGGAGGAGGAGGAGGCUUAGAGAACGCCUCGACAGAGCGGUAUGUAAUGGUCAGUUCCAUGGGCUUUUUCCUGAGGCAAAGAUUACUAAUGCCGCACACACCAAGUCUGAUCAUAGACCGAUAUUCAUUGACGGAGGGAGAUGUACAGGGGGACAAACAGCGAACCCAUCAGAGGUGUUUUGA